rnacentral:rRNA from 1 species
UGGGGAAUUUUGGACAAUGGGCGCAAGCCUGAUCCAGCCAUGCCGCGUGCGGGAAGAAGGCCUUCGGGUUGUAAACCGCUUUUGUCAGGGAAGAAAUCUUCUGAGUUAAUACCUCGGGAGGAUGACGGUACCUGAAGAAUAAGCACCGGCUAACUACGUGCCAGCAGCCGCGGUAAUACGUAGGGUGCAAGCGUUAAUCGGAAUUACUGGGCGUAAAGCGUGCGCAGGCGGUUUUGUAAGACAGAGGUGAAAUCCCCGGGCUCAACCUGGGAACUGCCUUUGUGACUGCAAGGCUUGAGUGCGGCAGAGGGGGAUGGAAUUCCGCGUGUAGCAGUGAAAUGCGUAGAUAUGCGGAGGAACACCGAUGGCGAAGGCAAUCCCCUGGGCCUGCACUGACGCUCAUGCACGAAAGCGUGGGGAGCAAACAGGAUUAGAUACCCUGGUAGUCCACGCCCUAAAACGAUGUCAACUGGUUGUUGGGAAGGUUCCUUCUCAGUAACGUAGCUAACGCGUGAAGUUGACCGCCUGGGGAGUACGGCCGCAAGGUUGAAACUUAAAUGAAUUGACGGGG